rnacentral:rRNA from 1 species
GACGUUACCUCCUGAAGAAGCACCGGCUAACUACGUGCCAGCAGCCGCGGUAAUACGUAGGUGGCAAGCGUUAUUCGGAUUUACUGGGUGUAAAGGGCACGCAGGCGGUAAAUCAAGUCAGAUGUGAAAUCUCCGGGCUCAACCCAUGACCUGCAUCUGAUACUGUUUUUCUUGAGUAUUGUAGAGGCGGGAAGAAUUCCAUGUGUAGCGGUGAAAUGCGUAGAUAUAAGGAGGAACACCAGUGGCGAAGGCGGCCCCCUGGACAAUGACUGACGCUCAGGCGCGAAAGCGUGGGGAGCAAAAAGGAUUAGAUACCCUGGUAGUCCACGCUGUAAGAGAUGGAUACUAGGUGUGGGAGGACUGACCCCUUCCGAGGCGCAGCUAUUGCACUAUGUAUCGCAGGUGGGGAGUAGGAUGACAGGGUUGAAAAUCAAAGGAAUUGGCGGGGGCCCGCACAAGCGGCAGAGUAUGUGGUUUAAUUCGAAGCAAAGCGCAGUACCUUAUCAGGGCUUGACAUCGCGAUUCCUGGUAUUGAGAUUUACCUUUCCCUUCGGGGACAUCCGUGACAGGCGGGGCAUUGUUGUCGUCAGCUCGUGUCGUGAGAUGUUGGGUUAAGUCCCGCAACGAGCGCAACCCCUAUUGUUAGUUCAUUCGCAAGAGCACUCUAGCGAGACUGCCGUUGACAAAACGGAGGAAGGUGGGGACGACGUCAAAUCAUCAUGCCCCUUACGUCCUGGGCUACACACGUACUACAAUGGCGGUCAACAGAGGGAAGCAAUCCCGCGAGGUGGAGCAAUCCCAUAAAAGCCGUCCCAGUUCGGAAUGCAGGCUGCAACCCGCCUGCAUGAAGUUGGAAUCGCUAGUAAUCGCGGAUCAGCAUGUCGCGGUGAAUACGUACCCGGGCCUUGUACUCACCGCCCGUCA